AUGGUGAAGCUAGCCACGGCGCGGGACUGCCGCGCGUACAGCCUCGGCGCCACGGGCGGCGAGACGUCGCGCAACCGGCGGUGGGAGUACAUCAACGCCGGGGUGUACGUCUUCGCCGCCGUCCUCCUCCUCGCCGGCUUCCUGGCGCAGCUGUGGCCGUGGGCGGUGUCCACCAAGGCCGGCCUCGCCGUGGCCGUCGUCGGGCUGCUGGGCGUGCUGGCAGUGAACGCGCACGACCUGCUGGCGCACGUCGCCGGCGUCGAUUACAACCUUGGCCUGGCCGGGCUCGACACCCAGUUCGUGCUCGUCGAGCUCGCCGCCCCCGCCGUGCAGCUCGCCGGCGCCGCGCUCACCUUGGUCGCGCUCAUCUUGUUCGAAAUCCAGAUGGAGAGAGGGCACCGGCGUGGCCUGGAGAAGCACGGCCUGAACCUGCUCAUCGCCGGGCCAGCGCUGUGGUGCCUCGGGUCCAUACACAACAUGUGCCAAGUCUACGAGCGAGCCAACGGGCACGUCCAGAUCCUCCAGAAGAGCGUGCACAUCCCGUUUCUGCUCGGCAGCACCCUCUUCUUCAUCGGCGGCGUCGUCAACCGGAACGACGUCCACGGCCACUCCUCCCACAGCUUCACCCUACUGGGGAGGAGCUGGGCGUGGUACUGCCUGUUCGGGAGCUUGCUGUUCUUGGCGGGAGGGCUGCUGAACCUGCUCAAGGUGUUCAAGAUGCAGCAGAUGGGCGGGCGGGGGCUCGAGAAGCUGCGCGGCGGCGCGCAGGAGCGGCUUAGCAGGGAGAGGGAGGGCAAGGUGCCUCUCAUCCUGGAGGAGGGCCGGAGGGGGAAGCACGGAGGCAAUGUAGGGGAUACCUGGGCGCCGCCGGCGCCGCGGUACGAGCCGAGGGCUCCGCCCGUUCCGCCGCCGCCGGAGGGUUCUUACAAGGACGCUGUCGUGAGCGGCGGCAACUAG
rnacentral:rRNA from 1 species